UACAGGGGGGGGCAAGCGUUGUUCGGAAUUACUGGGCGUAAAGGGCCAGUAGGCGGCCAACUAAGUCCGACGUGAAAUCCCCGGGCUUAACCUGGGAACUGCAUUUGAAACUGGCAGGCUUGAGUCUUGUAGAGGGGGGUAGAAUUCCAGGUGUAGCGGUGAAAUGCGUAGAGAUCUGGAGGAAUACCGGUGGCGAAGGCGGCCCCCUGGACAAAGACUGACGCUCAGGUGCGAAAGCGUGGGGAGCAAACAGG
rnacentral:rRNA from 1 species